rnacentral:rRNA from 1 species
UAAGCCCAGAUUAGGUAGUAACAACCAUUUGAGUCUGGGAUUUCUGAAUGGGGAAACCCACUUACAUAAGUAAGUAUCAUUAACUGAAUACAUAGGUUAAUGAGGCGAACCGGGGGAACUGAAACAUCUAAGUACCCCGAGGAAAAGAAAUCAACCGAGAUUCCGAAAGUAGCGGCGAGCGAAAUUGGACUAGCCCUUAAGCUUUACACGCGUUAGACGAACGGUCUGGAAAGUCCGACGAUACAGGGUGAUAGUCCCGUAGUUGACGACGUGUGUUCAGUGAAAUCGAGUAGGGCGGGACACGUGAUAUCCUGUCUGAAUAUGGGGGGACCAUCCUCCAAGGCUAAAUACUACUGACUGACCGAUAGUGAACCAGUACCGUGAGGGAAAGGCGAAAAGAACCCCUGUGAGGGGAGUGAAAUAGAACCUGAAACCGUGUACGUACAAGCAGUAGGAGCAGGCUUUGUCCUGUGACUGCGUACCUUUUGUAUAAUGGGUCAGCGACUUAUAUUCAGUGGCAAGGUUAACCAUCUAGGGGAGCCGUAGGGAAACCGAGUCUUAACUGGGCGUUCAGUCUCUGGAUAUAGACCCGAAACCAGGUGAUCUAGCCAUGGGCAGGUUGAAGGUUGAGUAACAUCAACUGGAGGACCGAACCGACUAAUGUUGAAAAAUUAGCGGAUGACUUGUGGCUAGGGGUGAAAGGCCAAUCAAACCUGGAGAUAGCUGGUUCUCCCCGAAAGCUAUUUAGGUAGCGCCUCGGACGAAUACUACUGGGGGUAGAGCACUGUUAAGGCUAGGGGGUCAUCCCGACUUACCAACCCU